CCAGGAAGUGCGCCAGACCUGGCCUGGAGCCGGGGAGGUGCCGGGCAAGUGGACGCUGCAGCUCCACUUUGGAAUUCCAGGCACAUCCAGAGGCUGUGGGGUUGAAGCCAAGCUGCACAGCCGAAAGAGGCCAGAGUGGACACCCCCCGGCACCUGCUGCGGCACUGGCAGUAGGGUGGGUGCUGUGGGUGCCUAAGGGAUCCCCGCCUGGCCUUUACCCCUGUUCUCAUGCCUCCCAGGGCUCCCUGCCCCCUGCCUGCAGGAUCACAGCUCCACAGCUCAGUUCUGUGGCUCAGUGCCUCAGCCUUCAGGUCCUGUUUUUGAGCCCCCAGUGGGGGGGGCCUACCUGGCGGGUGGAUGCUCCCUUGAAGAAUCCAGGCAUGGCCAAUUCCUCCCUGUAGGUCCAGGCCCAGACCAGGAAAUGGAACGUAACAUGUUCAUUGUGUCCCAAACACCAGAAAAGCACUGAGUAUCUGAGUGUGAUUGGCUUGAUUUUUAUAGAUGGAAACUGAGGCUACCCAGCUCCUGAGGAGCGAAGCAGUGCUGACCCAUCACCAG